ensembl:lncRNA
AUGUUCUCAUCUGUCGGUCUGACUGUGAUGGUGAUCAUAUUUGGGGUUGUUCUCUGUAUAUGCAAAAGGCAAAAGAACAAGUCACACAGUUCCAAUGAUGAUGCUGAAAUCCAAGGCACCACAUGUACCACAGAGACUGCUGGUGAUUAUGAGGAGAUCACAGAGACCCAACAGCGGACUGAAACACACACAAACAUCACCACUUAUUCUACUGUCAAAAUAAGUACAGCAGCCAAUCAGAUCCAAGAUCCUCCACUAUCCUCCACCCUCUCCAUUUAAUCAUAGCCCAGCUUCACCAAAUGAUCUCCAAACUCCAGUACUGAUACAGCUACUGUACAUAUGCACACUUGCAACACUUUUUACUCUUUAACUUGUGUCAGUCAGUAUAGUGGACUGUGCGUUCGGUGUAAGCAGUUAAGGUCCUGUGAAUGUUAUUUUGUUCUUGUGUAAAUAAAUUCAUUCUAGAUUGUCA